CGCCCCGCAGCACGCCCACGCGCCGCACCGCGCUGGGAUCUGCCAGCCCCGGAGGGGGGAGACCAGGAGGAGCAGGAGGAAGCGGGGGCGGCAAGUCAAGAUCGGAUGUAUCUGCCGGGGCGGAGGGAGGACCCCCUCGCUGGGUAGGCAGAAAGCAAGACUAAUCCUUGAACUCAUUUCCUGAUGGAGUCACAGCCUUCCCUCACUCUUCUCCCCACUCGUUCUUCCUCUAUUCCGUGUAGGAUGAUAAGGAUUCCCAAGCCUCAGGAAGCCAGUGUGCUUCUAAAGGCUUGGGCUUCUACCUGAGGUUGAGCAUCAUCCCACCCUUCAAGCUGGUCGUUCAGAGGGUCUACAGCAGUUCUGGAGGAGGAA